AGGGCACCACCAGGAGUGGAGCCUGCGGCUUAAUUUGACUCAACACGGGGAAACUUACCCGGCCUGGACACUGGAAGGAUUGACAGAUUGAGGGCUCUUUCUUGAUUCAGUGGGUGGUGGUGCAUGGCCGUUCUUAGUUGGUGGAGCGAUUUGUCUGGUUAAUUCCGAUAACGAACGAGACUCUAGCCUAUUAAAUAGGCUCUCGGCUUUUAAACGCCGGGAGGACUUCUUAGAGGGACAGGUGGCGGUUCAGCCGCACGAAAGAGAGCAAUAACAGGUCUGUGAUGCCCUUUGUUGUCCGGGGCCGCACGCGCGCUACACUGAAGAGAUCAGCGUGCUUUACGUUCCUGCUCCGACCGGAGUGGGGAACCCAGUGAACCUUCUUCGUGAUUGGGAUAGAAGAUUGUAAUUAUUCUUCUUGAACGAGGAAUUCCCAGUAAAUGCGAGUCAUAAGCUCGCGUUGAUUACGUCCCUGCCCUUUGUACACACCGCCCGUCGCUACUACCGAUUGAACGAUUU
rnacentral:rRNA from 1 species